rnacentral:misc_RNA from 1 species
UCUCCGUAGGUGAACCUGCGGAGGGAUCAUUACAAGUGACCCCGGUCUUACCACCGGGAUGUUCAUAACCCUUUGUUGUCCGACUCUGUUGCCUCCGGGGCGACCCUGCCUUCGGGCGGGGGCUCCGGGUGGACACUUCAAACUCUUGCGUAACUUUGCAGUCUGAGUAAACUUAAUCAAUAAAUUAAAACUUUUAACAACGGAUCUCUUGGUUCUG